rnacentral:rRNA from 1 species
CAGUCGCCGCGGUAAUACGGAGGGUGCAAGCGUUAAUCGGAAUUACUGGGCGUAAAGCGCACGCAGGCGGUCUGACAAGUCAGAUGUGAAAUCCCCGGGCUUAACCUGGGAACUGCAUUUGAAACUGUCAGGCUGGAGUCUUGUAGAGGGGGGUGGAAUUCCAGGUGUAGCGGUGAAAUGCGUAGAGAUCUGGAGGAAUACCGGUGGCGAAGGCGGCCCCCUGGACAAAGACUGACGCUCAGGUGCGAAAGCGUGGGGAGCAAACAGGAUUAGAUACCCCGGUAGUCCCUGUCUCUUAUAA